rnacentral:misc_RNA from 1 species
GAUGAAGAACGUAGCGAAAUGCGAUACUUGGUGUGAAUUGCAGAAUCCCGUGAACCAUCGAGUCUUUGAACGCAAGUUGCGCCCGAAGCCAUUAGGCCGAGGGCACGCCUGCCUGGGCGUCACACGUCGUUGCCCCCCCAUCUACUCCUUCGGGAUUGCGGGGGGCGGAUGAUGGCCUCCCGUGCGCCUUGUCGCGCGGUUGGCAUAAAUACCAAGUCCUCGGCGACGCACGCCACGACAAUCGGUGGUUGCGAAACCUCGGUUGCCUGUCGUGUGCGGUCGUCGCGCAUCGAGGGCUCGAAAAAAUGCUCGGCUCCGGCUGGGCUUUCAACGCGACCCCAGGUCAGGCGGGGUUACCCGCUGAAUUUAAGCAUAUCAAUAAGCGGAGGA